rnacentral:rRNA from 1 species
GAGCCUUGCACUCUUUAUUUGUAUUGUUAGCCGAACGCUCUGGAAAGUGCGGCCAUAGCAGGUGAUAGCCCUGUAGGCGAAAACAGUAUGAAAGAACUAGGUGUGCGACAAGUAGGGCGGGACACGUGAAAUCCUGUCUGAAGAUGGGGGGACCAUCCUCCAAGGCUAAAUACUCGUGAUCGACCGAUAGUGAACCAGUACCGUGAGGGAAAGGCGAAAAGAACCCCGGGAGGGGAGUGAAAUAGAUCCUGAAACCGCAUGCAUACAAACAGUCGGAGCCUCGUAAGGGGUGACGGCGUACCUUUUGUAUAAUGGGUCAGCGACUUACGUUCAGUAGCAAGCUUAACCGUAUAGGGCAGGCGUAGCGAAAGCGAGUCCGAAUAGGGCGUUCAGUUGCUGGGCGUAGACCCGAAACCAGGUGAUCUAUCCAUGGCCAGGAUGAAGGUGCGGUAACACGUACUGGAGGUCCGAACCCACUAACGUUGAAAAGUUAGGGGAUGAGCUGUGGAUAGGGGUGAAAGGCUAAACAAACCUGGAAAUAGCUGGUUCUCUCCGAAAACUAUUUAGGUAGUGCCUCGUGUCUCACCUUCGGGGGUAGAGCACUGUCAUGGUUGGGGGGUCUAUUGCAGAUUACCCCGCCAUAGCAAACUCCGAAUACCGAAGAGUGCAAUCACGGGAGACAGACAUCGGGUGCUAACGUCCGGUGUCAAGAGGGAAACAACCCAGACCGCCAGCUAAGGUCCCCAAAUAUAGCUAAGUGGGAAACGAAGUGGGAAGGCUAAAACAGUCAGGAGGUUGGCUUAGAAGCAGCCACCCUUUAAAGAAAGCGUAAUAGCUCACUGAUCGAGUCGUCCUGCGCGGAAGAUGUAACGGGGCUAAGCUAUAUACCGAAGCUGCGGAUGCGAGCUUUGCUCGCAUGGUAGGAGAGCGUUCCGUAAGCCUGCGAAGGUGCCUUGUAAAGGGUGCUGGAGGUAUCGGAAGUGCGAAUGCUGACAUGAGUAGCGAUAAAGGGGGUGAAAGGCCCCCUCGCCGUAAGCCCAAGGUUUCCUACGCAACGUUCAUCGGCGUAGGGUGAGUCGGCCCCUAAGGCGAGGCAGAAAUGCGUAGCUGAUGGGAAGCAGGUCAAUAUUCCUGCACCAUUGUUAGAUGCGAUGGGGGGACGGAUCGCGGAAGGUUGUCCGGGUGUUGGAAGUCCCGGUCGCUGCAUUGGAGAAGGCGCUUAGGCAAAUCCGGGCGCGUAAUUCAAGGGUGUGGCGCGAGCUCCUUAGGGAGCGAAGCAAUUGGAAGUGGUUCCAAGAAAAGCCUCUAAGCUUCAGUCUAACGAUGACCGUACCGCAAACCGACACAGGUGGGCGAGAUGAGUAUUCUAAGGCGCUUGAGAGAACUCGGGAGAAGGAACUCGGCAAAUUGGUACCGUAACUUCGGGAUAAGGUACGCCCUUGUAGCUUGACUGGCCUGCGCCAGGAGGGUGAAGGGGUUGCAAUAAACUGGUGGCUGCGACUGUUUAAUAAAAACACAGCACUCUGCAAACACGAAAGUGGACGUAUAGGGUGUGACGCCUGCCCGGUGCCGGAAGAUUAAAUGAUGGGGUGCAAGCUCUUGAUUGAAGUCCCGGUAAACGGCGGCCGUAACUAUAACGGUCCUAAGGUAGCGAAAUUCCUUGUCGGGUAAGUUCCGACCUGCACGAAUGGCGUAACGAUGGCCACACUGUCUCCUCCCGAGACUCAGCGAAGUUGAAGUGUUUGUGAUGAUGCAAUCUACCCGCGGCUAGACGGAAAGACCCCAUGAACCUUUACUGUAGCUUUGCAUUGGACUUUGAACCGAUCUGUGUAGGAUAGGUGGGAGGCUAUGAAACCGGAACGCUAGUUUCGGUGGAGCCGUCCUUGAAAUACCACCCUGGUUUGUUUGAGGUUCUAACCUUGGCCCGUGAUCCGGGUCGGGGACAGUGCAUGGUAGGCAGUUUGACUGGGGCGGUCUCCUCCCAAAGCGUAACGGAGGAGUACGAAGGUACGCUAGGUACGGUCGGAAAUCGUGCUGAUAGUGCAAUGGCAUAAGCGUGCUUAACUGCGAGACCGACAAGUCGAGCAGGUGCGAAAGCAGGUCAUAGUGAUCCGGUGGUUCUGUAUGGAAGGGCCAUCGCUCAACGGAUAAAAGGUACUCUGGGGAUAACAGGCUGAUACCGCCCAAGAGUUCAUAUCGACGGCGGUGUUUGGCACCUCGAUGUCGGCUCAUCUCAUCCUGGGGCUGUAGCCGGUCCCAAGGGUAUGGCUGUUCGCCAUUUAAAGAGGUACGUGAGCUGGGUUUAAAACGUCGUGAGACAGUUUGGUCCCUAUCUGCCGUGGGCGUUGGAUAUUUGAAGGGGGCUGCUCCUAGUACGAGAGGACCGGAGUGGACGAACCUCUGGUGUACCGGUUGUCACGCCAGUGGCAUCGCCGGGUAGCUAUGUUCGGAAGAGAUAACCGCUGAAAGCAUCUAAGCGGGAAACUCGCCUUAAGAUGAGAUAUCCCUGGGGACUAGAUCCCCUUGAAGGGUCGUUCGAGACCAGGACGUUGAUAGGUCAGGUGUGUAAGCGCAGUAAUGCGUUCAGCUAACUGAUACUAAUUGCCCGUAAGGCUUGAUCCU